rnacentral:rRNA from 1 species
UAGGGAAUCUUCGGCAAUGGACGAAAGUCUGACCGAGCAACGCUGCGUGAGUGAAGAAGGUUUUCGGAUCGUAAAACUCUGUUGUUAGAGAAGAACAAGGACGUUAGUAACUGAACGUCCCCUGACGGUAUCUAACCAGAAAGCCACGGCUAACUACGUGCCAGCAGCCGCGGUAAUACGUAGGUGGCAAGCGUUGUCCGGAUUUAUUGGGCGUAAAGCGAGCGCAGGCUGUUUCUUAAGUCUGUUGUGAAAGCCCCCGGCUCAACCGGGGAGGGUCAUUGGAAACUGGGAGCCUUGAGUGCAGAAGAGGAGAGUGGAAUUCCAUGUGUAGCGGUGAAAUUCGUAGAUAUAUGGAGGAACACCAGUGGCGAAGGCUGCUCUCUGGUCUGUAACUGACGCUGAGGCUCGAAAGCGUGGGGAGCAAACAGG